UUCAGAAAAUAAAUGCAUGUCCAGAGCCUCGUACGUUUGCAAACUUUGUUGACAAGUGUCCCUCACAUAAAGAAGAAUGGAAUAGAGCAUCAAAGAUAAAGAGCUGUGAAUCGGUGUCAAGGAAUUGUACAAGAAAAUACGCUUAUCACUGUCUAAAGGAUGAGUGGUUAGAUAAAAUGUACGAGGUCUGUGCGCCGCCAGUUGUAAUUAUCGGUUGCUGCCCCGAAUACAACACAGCUGGUGGUGUAAUACAGGGAAAUUUUCUAAUUGAUUGCACGAGGUUUGAUUUUCCGUGUCUAAAGGUUUAUAACUCCACAGAUAUUUACAAAUAUCAGAAAUGCUAUGGAAUAACCACGACCAUAUUGGUUGAAGAAAUUUUGUCCAAUGAUGAAGA